rnacentral:pre_miRNA from 1 species
CUCCACCAUGGCCUGGACUCUGUUCCUCCUCACUCUCCUCUCUCAGGGCACAGGUAA